GAUGAACGCUAGCUACAGGCUUACACAUGCAAGUCGAGGGGCAGCAUGGUCUUAGCUUGCUAAGGCCGAUGGCGACCGGCGCACGGGUGAGUAACACGUAUCCAACCUGCCGUCUACUCUUGGACAGCCUUCUGAAAGGAAGAUUAAUACAAGAUGGCAUCAUGAGUCCGCAUGUUCACAUGAUUAAAGGUAUUCCGGUAGACGAUGGGGAUGCGUUCCAUUAGAUAGUAGGCGGGGUAACGGCCCACCUAGUCUUCGAUGGAUAGGGGUUCUGAGAGGAAGGUCCCCCACAUUGGAACUGAGACACGGUCCAAACUCCUACGGGAGGCAGCAGUGAGGAAUAUUGGUCAAUGGGCGAGAGCCUGAACCAGCCAAGUAGCGUGAAGGAUGACUGCCCUAUGGGUUGUAAACUUCUUUUAUAAAGGAAUAAAGUCGGGUAUGGAUACCCGUUUGCAUGUACUUUAUGAAUAAGGAUCGGCUAACUCCGUGCCAGCAGCCGCGGUAAUACGGAGGAUCCGAGCGUUAUCCGGAUUUAUUGGGUUUAAAGGGAGCGUAGAUGGAUGUUUAAGUCAGUUGUGAAAGUUUGCGGCUCAACCGUAAAAUUGCAGUUGAUACUGGAUAUCUUGAGUGCAGUUGAGGCAGGCGGAAUUCGUGGUGUAGCGGUGAAAUGCUUAGAUAUCACGAAGAACUCCGAUUGCGAAGGCAGCCUGCUAAGCUGCAACUGACAUUGAGGCUCGAAAGUGUGGGUAUCAAACAGGA
rnacentral:rRNA from 1 species